CAGUAGCCCGCCAGACACAACACCCGUCUGGUCGGAGGAUCCUCCCUUUGCGACGGCAGACGAGGAACUUCACAACCUAUUCCUCAUACUUCCAAACUGCUAUCUUGAAAUAAAAA